rnacentral:rRNA from 1 species
GACGAACGCUGGCGGCGUGCUUAACACAUGCAAGUCGAACGAUGAUGCCCAGCUUGCUGGGCGGAUUAGUGGCGAACGGGUGAGUAACACGUGAGUAACCUGCCCUUGACUUCGGGAUAACUCCGGGAAACCGGGGCUAAUACCGGAUAUGAGCCGUCCUCGCAUGGGGGUGGUUGGAAAGUUUUUCGGUCAGGGAUGGGCUCGCGGCCUAUCAGCUUGUUGGUGGGGUGAUGGCCUACCAAGGCGACGACGGGUAGCCGGCCUGAGAGGGCGACCGGCCACACUGGGACUGAGACACGGCCCAGACUCCUACGGGAGGCAGCAGUGGGGAAUAUUGCACAAUGGGCGAAAGCCUGAUGCAGCGACGCCGCGUGAGGGAUGAAGGCCUUCGGGUUGUAAACCUCUUUCAGCAGGGAAGAAGCGCAAGGGACG